CUAGAACAUAAGUAUAUAUUUUUUUGUGUACAAUUUGGAGUUUAGUAUGGCGUUCAUUGUCACUGAACUAGUAUAUAUUUGUUUCGGGGCCAGCUGAAGGACACCUCCGGAUGCGAGAAUUUCUCGUUGCAUUGAAGACCUGUUGGUGACCUUCUGCUGUUGUCUGCUCUAUGGUCGGGUUGUUGUCUCUUUGGCACAUUCCCCAUUUCCAUUCUCAAUUUUAUGUUGAUUAAGGAUGUCGAUCCUUCAUGUACGAUAUUUAUUUCAGAAAUACUUAAAUAUGAAGAAAAAAAAACUAAGUAAAUGUGAAUUUUAGAAAACACUGAAUGACUUUUAAGAAAAUGGACCUAGUGUGAACUAAGUUCUAGCCAAGAAAUUGGUGC
rnacentral:lncRNA from 1 species